UUUCCUCCUCCUCUUGAGGGCAGGAGUCCAGGCGCAGCCCCAGCAGCAGGUAAUGCCCUAAAGCCAGUGACGCACGGUGGGUGGUUACCAUGGCAUAGGAAAACAUUGCCAGCGCUGGCCCUGUCGUCAUGGAACCCCUGGGCCAUCUCCUGAGAAACUUGACUCUCCAAGAUAUGCAGAGCUUUGGGCCAGGAUCCUACAGCCACGGGUCAUGCAGAGCCAGUUGGCCACAUCCUUUGGGCCAAAUUUGGUCCUAACCAGGUCUUACCACGGUAACUGCUAACCAGUCCAUCUUCAGUUAAUAUUUCAUGCGUAAGAUGUUUCAUGAAGUAACUGAAUGGGCUAAUGGGUUGUUCACUGGAUAAGACUCCCAGAUACUCCCUUUCAUGCCAUUCCCCAGAAUUCCUUCACCUCCCAGUGCUGUCUGUAAGGGUGAAGAUACUCCAUUUUGCCCCAUGCUCUUUGCUGUGCCCCAGAUAGGCUCAAACAUUUUUCCCUUUUGGGGAUUUUGCAGGUAGGAAUUGUUGAACAUCUUACCAUUUAAUCCAGAAGUUAUGUCCUUUAAGGAAUCGACCCUGAGCCUGUGAGUUUUACUUUGGGUUGGGGGUGAAGGAGUGGACCUUGCAGCAUUCAAGGUCAUCCAAGAUCAUCCAGUUAAGGCCCCUAAGGUCACUACGGGGGGAAAAGCCUGGUGAGGGAAGAGAAAGCAUUAGGGGGAGCUGCACCGUGCUGAGAAAUAACACCACACAGAAGUCUGUGUUCUAAUCUCAGCUCUGCUUUGCAUUACUGUGUGACCUGGAGCUGAUCACAGCCCUCUGAGUCUUAAAGGGGUUGGACAAGGCCAACUAAACAUUAGAAACACCUGAAAGUGCUGGUUAAAAGGAAGAAUGCAUGAGCUUCACUCCAGAUUUACUAUAUCAGAAUUUCCAGGGUCAGGGUCCAAGAAUCUGCAUGUUUAAUACGCUUUCCACAUGAUUUUUCCCCCCUCUGGACUUAAGAAAACAAUGGGCAAGUCAGCUCAUGAAGAACUUUUCAGAUAUUCAGACUAUUAUUCUGAGAGAGAAAAUAUUGGCAGAGAACAGAUGGGAUUUUUCUCAAGGAAAAGAAAUGGAAAUCCUACAUCUUGCAAGAAAUAGAAAAAAAUAAAUAAACUGUUUGAAGAAGAAUCACAUCAGGCUGGCAGGAGAGAGCCUGCGGCUCGGUGUCUGACCCAGAAUGUUAAAGCCAGCCUGGCUUGGCUCCAGGAUAAAGGACACUCUGUCAGCCUCUCCACAUUGAUUCAUCUCCCCAGCCCCAAGAUCAGGAGAGCAUUCUGUUCCUUGAAGCAUUUUAUGACUGUAAGUCAGAAGUGCUGCAGUUUUAAUAAAAAGCUGUAUUGUCCUGAUCUUGUGCAAUAUACUGAACUAUCAUUUUCCAACUGUUGGCUUGCAUACUGGUUUGUGUGAGUAAGCCCGUCCAUCCACAUCACUAAAAGAUAGUAGUAGUAACAACAAUGAC
rnacentral:lncRNA from 10 species